rnacentral:lncRNA from 1 species
CAGGUCCUUUUUGGCUGUCCUUGCCUCUCUGGUGCACUGUUUCUGAGAAUCUUGUAGAAGCAGCAAGGUUUCUAUAGUGUCCAUGCCUGUUCAGAGGGAUUAUAGCCCCAGAGGAAGAGGAUUUGCCUUUGCAUCCCUGCAUGUGAGGGUGCCCAGGCUUGGGUGGAAGGGUGCACAGGGAGCAGCACCCUCUGCAAGAGAGAUGGAUUUUCUGUCCUGGCAAGUGGGGAGCAGAGUGAGGGGACAGAGGUGUCCAGGUGAGCCUGAGCGAGCUGGUGCACACAGCCAGGUCCCGGGUGUGCAGUUCUGUGCUCUGUACCAGACCACCAGAACCUUUGGAGUGGUACUGGGGCAGGAGUCAUAUUCCACUGACUGUUGCGAGGUUGGCUGA